GACGAACGCUGGCGGCGUGCCUAAUACAUGCAAGUCGAACGCUGAAGGAGGAGCUUGCUUCUCUGGAUGAGUUGCGAACGGGUGAGUAACGCGUAGGUAACCUGCCUGGUAGCGGGGGAUAACUAUUGGAAACGAUAGCUAAUACCGCAUAAGAGUAGAUGUUGCAUGACAUUUGCUUAAAAGGUGCAAUUGCAUCACUACCAGAUGGACCUGCGUUGUAUUAGCUAGUUGGUGGGGUAACGGCUCACCAAGGCGACGAUACAUAGCCGACCUGAGAGGGUGAUCGGCCACACUGGGACUGAGACCAGGCCCAGACUCCUACGGGAGGCAGCAGUAGGGAAUCUUCGGCAAUGGACGGAAGUCUGACCGAGCAACGCCGCGUGAGUGAAGAAGGUUUUCGGAUCGUAAAGCUCUGUUGUAAGAGAAGAACGAGUGUGAGAGUGGAAAGUUCACACUGUGACGGUAUCUUACCAGAAAGGGACGGCUAACUACGUG
rnacentral:rRNA from 1 species